UACGGAGGGUGCGAGCGUUGUCCGGAAUCAUUGGGCGUAAAGGGCGCGUAGGUGGCCCGGUCAGUCUUUGGUGAAAGCGCGGGGCUCAACCCUGCGUCGGCCAGGGAUACUGCCGCGGCUCGAGCACUGUAGAGGCAGGCGGAAUUCCGGGUGUAGCGGUGGAAUGCGUAGAGAUCCGGAGGAACACCAGCGGCGAAGGCGGCGUCCUGGACUGGUACUGACGCUCAGGAGCGAAAGCGUGGGGAGCGAUCCGG
rnacentral:rRNA from 1 species